rnacentral:rRNA from 1 species
UGGGGAAUUUUGCGCAAUGGGCGAAAGCCUGACGCAGCGACGCCGCGUGGAGGAUGAAGGCCUUUGGGUUGUAAACUCCUGUCGGCUGGGAAGAAAACUGUCAAGUGAAUAGCUUGGCAGCUUGACUGUACCAGCAAAGGAAGCCCCGGCUAACUCCGUGCCAGCAGCCGCGGUAAUACGGAGGGGGCAAGCGUUGUUCGGAAUUAUUGGGCGUAAAGGGCGUGUAGGCGGCCGGAUAAGUCGGAUGUGAAAUCCCUCAGCUCAACUGAGGAACUGCAUUCGAUACUGCCUGGCUAGAGUCCGGGAGGGGGUAGCGGAAUUCCCAGUGUAGCGGUGAAAUGCGUAGAUAUUGGGAAGAACACCAGUAGCGAAGGCGGCUACCUGGACCGGAACUGACGCUGAGGCGCGAAAGCCAGGGGAGCGAAUGGG